GAUGAACGCUGGCGGCGUGCCUAAUACAUGCAAGUCGAGCGAACAGACGAGGAGCUUGCUCCUCUGACGUUAGCGGCGGACGGGUGAGUAACACGUGGAUAACCUACCUAUAAGACUGGGAUAACUUCGGGAAACCGGAGCUAAUACCGGAUAAUAUAUUGAACCGCAUGGUUCAAUAGUGAAAGACGGUUUUGCUGUCACUUAUAGAUGGAUCCGCGCCGCAUUAGCUAGUUGGUAAGGUAACGGCUUACCAAGGCAACGAUGCGUAGCCGACCUGAGAGGGUGGCCGCCACCACGGAAACUGAAACCGGGACAACACUCCGGGGGGGGGAGGGAGAGGGGAAUAUUCAGAAAGGGGGGAAGGCUGGCAGGAGCAAGGCGGGGUGAUGAAUAAAGUUUUUGGAAUCGAAAAACUUUUUUAUUGGGAAAAAAAAAAUGGGAAGGAAACUAUCCACGUCUUAACGGUACCAAAUAAAAAAGCCACGGCUAACUACGUC
rnacentral:rRNA from 1 species